AUGGAAUACAAUCCAGCCGCCAAUGGAGAAGCAGAAGCUUUCAACAAAACUCUUUGCAAGUUACUAAAGAAAGUUGUAUCAAAAAAUAAGCGUGACUGGCAUAAAAAGCUUCUCGAAGCCUUGUGGGCUUAUAGAACCACAACACGCACGUGGACAGGAAUGACACCUUAUUCCCUAGUAUUUGGAGGUGAAGCAGUUCUACCUUUGGAGGUAUAGAUCACGUCACUGAGAGUCGCUACACAUGAAAAUUUGUCGGAGGGAAAAUCAGUACAAUUACGCCUCGAUGAAUUGGAAAGACUAGAAGGAAGAUGACUUCAAGCUUUGCAAAAUCUUGAGGCAUACCAAGCUAGGAUGUCGUGAGCAUUCGACAAACGAGUCAAAAGAAGGUCGUUCAAACAAGGAGAUCUAGUACUCGCGGUCAUUCGUCCCAUGAAUAUCACGCGGCGGAUGAAAGAAAAAUUUGAACCAAAAUGGGAAGGCCCUUUUAUCAUAAAAGAGGUUUAUUCUAGCGGUGCGUAUAGGAUCAUAUCACCAGAUGAGAAAUACUCGUCGACACCGGUAAAUGGAAAUUUCUUAAGCGUUACUAUGCAUAAGAAAAAAGUACUCCAUACCCUCAAGAGUAUAAACUGGGCAUACAAAAGAAAAACUCCAAUAAACUUACGAGUCUAA
rnacentral:rRNA from 1 species